rnacentral:rRNA from 1 species
GAUGAACGCUGGCGGCGUGCCUAAUACAUGCAAGUCGAGCGAAAAGACGAGGAGCUUUCUCCUCGAGCGUUAGCGGCGGACGUGUGAGUACGACGUGGAUAACCUACCUAUGAGACUGGAAUAACUUCGGGAAACAAUAGCUAAUACCGGAUAACAUGUUAAACCGCAGGGUGCAACAGUUCAAGCCGGUUGUGCUGUCACUUAUAGAUUGAGUCGCGUUGCAUUAGGUAGUUGGUCAGGUCACGGCUUAACAAGGCAACGAUGCGUAGCCGACCUUAGAGGGACAACCGCCAAAAUUGAACUGAGACACGGUCCCGACUCCUACGGGGAGCAGCAGUAGGGAAUCUUCCGCAAUGGGCGGAAGCCUGACGGAGCAAAGCCGCGGGAGUGAAAAAGGUCUUCGGAUUGUUAAACUCUGUUAGUAGGGAAGAAAAAGUGUCUAAGUAACUCUGCGCGUUAAGACCGUUCCCAAACAGAAAGGCACCGCUAACUUAGGU